rnacentral:tRNA from 2 species
ACUAAUAUGGCAGAUAAGUGCAAUGGAUUUAAGCUUCAUAAAUAAAGGAUUAUUCCUUUUAUUAGUA